rnacentral:misc_RNA from 1 species
UUUCCGUAGGUGAACCAGCGGAAGGAUCAUUAUUGUAUAACCGAGGUGCGAGGGCUGUCGCUGACCCGAAAGGUCGUGCACGCCCGAGUGCCCUCACACACAUCCAUCUCACCCCUAUGUGCACCACCGCGUGGGUCCCCCUUUGGCUUGUUCGGAGGGGGGCUUACGUUUUCACACAAACUUUGUAUGCAGUGUAGAAUGUGUUUUUUGUUUUUGCGAUCACGCAAUCAAUACAACUUUCAACAACGGAUCUCUUGGCUCUC